rfam:Gloeocapsa sp. PCC 73106 scaffold_00030, whole genome shotgun sequence.
AGUCAAGCUACAAAGGGCUAACGGUGGAUACCUAGGCACACAAAGGCGAAGAAGGACGUGGCGACCGACGAAACGCUCCGGGGAGCAGGAAGCAAGCAUUGAACCGGAGAUCUCCGAAUGGGGCAACCCCCAGCACGGCCUACCCAAUCCAUAAGUAGGCACGAGCAAACCUGGUGAAUUGAAACAUCUUAGUAACCAGAGGACCAAAAAGCAAUAGCGAUUCCCCCAGUAGCGGCGAGCGAAAAGGGACCAGCCUAAACCAUCUUUUACGAAAGGUGGGGUAGUGGGAAAGUCAAAAACGAUGUGGAAAAGUUAGACGAAGCAGCUGAAAACUGCACCAGAGAAGGUGAAAGUCCUGUAGUCGAAAACUCGCACCAUCAGACUUAAUCCCGAGUAGCACGGGGCAAGUGAAAUCCCGUGUGAAUCAGCCUCGACCACGAGGUAAGGCUAAAUACUAAUGUGUGACCGAUAGCGAAACAGUACCGCGAGGGAAAGGUGAAAAGAACCCCGGCAAGGGGAGUGAAAUAGAACAUGAAACCGUUAGCCUACAAGCAAUGGGAGGACGAUUUAACGUCUGACCGUGUGCCUGUUGAAGAAUGAGCCGGCGACUUACAGGUAGUGGCAGGUUAAGGCGUUUUAGCCGGAGCCAUAGUGAAAGCGAGCCUGAAUAGGGCGAAAAAAUUAAAUGUCACUGCUUGUAGACCCGAACCCGGGUGAUCUAACCAUGUCCAGGAUGAAGCUUGGGUAAAACCAAGUGGAGGUCCGAACCGACUAACGUUGAAAAGUUAGCGGAUGAGGUGUGGUUAGGGGUGAAAUGCCAAUCGAACCCGGAGCUAGCUGGUUCUCCCCGAAAUGUGUUGAGGCGCAGCGGCUGUGAUUAACUCUGGGGGUAAAGCACUGUUUCACUGCGGGCGGCGAGAGCUGUACCAAAGCGAGACAAACUCAGAAUACCAGAACUUAAAGCAGCUAGUAAGACGGUGGGGGAUAAGCUUCAUCGUCAAGAGGGAAACAGCCCAGACCACCAGCUAAGGUCCCCAAAUAGAGACUAAGUGAUUAAGGAGGUGGGAGUGCACAGACAACCAGGAGGUUUGCCUAGAAGCAGCAACCCUUAAAAGAGUGCGUAAUAGCUCACUGGUCAAGCGCUCCUGCGCCGAAAAUGAAUGGGACUAAGUCACUUACCGAAGCUGUGGAAUAGAUUAAUUAACUACUAACUAUUGGUAGGGGAGCGUUCUGUUAAGGGUGAAGCACUAGCGGCAAGCAGGUGUGGACGAAACAGAAGUGAGAAUGUCGGCUUAAGUAGCGAAAACAUUGGUGAGAAUCCAAGGCCCCGAAACCCUAAGGGUUCCUCCGGAAGGCUCGUCCGCGGAGGGUUAGUCAGGACCUAAGGCCAGGCCGAAAGGCGUAGUCGAUGGACAACGGGUGAAUAAUCCCGUACCUGUCAUGAUUGGUGCAGGGGGACGGAGAAGGUCAAGACCAGCUAGGUGAUGGAAGUCCUAGUGCAAGCGUUCGAGGCGUUGACGAGAGGCGAAAACUCUCUGAGCUCAGGCGCGAGUCCGGCUCGCUACGGCGAGUUAGUGGUGGCGAUCCCGCUUCCCAGAAAAGCCCUAAACACCAUAAAUUAUGACAGCCUGUACCCUAAACCGACACAGGUAGGGAAGUAGAGUAUACUAAGGGGCGCGAGAUAACUCUCUCUAAGGAACUCGGCAAAAUGACCCCGUAACUUCGGGAGAAGGGGUACCAUCAGCAAUGGUGGUCACAGUAAAGAGGCCCAGGCGACUGUUUACCAAAAACACAGGUCUCCGCUAAGUCGUAAGACGCAGUAUGGGGGCUGACGCCUGCCCAGUGCCGGAAGGUUAAGGAAGUUGGUUAGCCCUUUGGGGCGAAGCUAGCGACUGAAGCCCCGGUGAACGGCGGCCGUAACUAUAACGGUCCUAAGGUAGCGAAAUUCCUUGUCGGGUAAGUUCCGACCCGCACGAAAGGCGUAACGAUCUGGGCACUGUCUCGGAGAGAGACUCGGCGAAAUAGGAUUGUCUGUGAAGAUACGGACUACCUGCACCUGGACAGAAAGACCCUAUGAAGCUUUACUGUAGCCUGGAAUGGUGUUCGGGCUUCGCCUGCGCAGCAUAGGUGGGAGGCUUUGAAGAUGUGCUUGUGGGUGCAUCUGAGCCAACGGUGAGAUACCACUCUGGCGAAGCUAGAAUUCUAACCUUAACCCGUCAACCGGGAAAGGGACAGUUUCAGGUGG